rnacentral:pre_miRNA from 1 species
GCUUGACUGUAUGUAUGGUGUUCAACACCAAGGACAGGUAUAUUUAUUUGUGUGUGUAUAUGGUGUUCAGCACCAAGGCCAGGCAUGUUUGUGU